CUACGGGAGGCUGCAGUGGGGAAUAUUGGACAAUGGGGGAAACCCUGAUCCAGCAAUGCCGCGUGUGUGAAGAAGGCCUGCGGGUUGUAAAGCACUUUCGGUUGGGAGGACUGCUUCUAGCACUAAUAUUGUUGGAAGUUGACGUUACCUUCAGAAGAGGCACCGGCUAACUCCGUGCCAGCAGCCGCGGUAAUACGGAGGGUGCAUGCGUUAAUCGGAAUUACUGGGCGUAAAGCGCGCGUAGGCGGCUAGAUCAGUCGGGUGUGAAAGCCCCGGGCUUAACCUGGGAACUGCAUCCGAUACUGUCUAGCUUGAGUACAGGAGAGGAGAGUGGAAUUCCACAUGUAGCGGUGAAAUGCGUAGAUAUGUGGAGGAACACCAAUGGCGAAGGCAGCUCUCUGGCCUGAUACUGACGCUGAGGUGCGAAAGCGUGGGGAGCAAACAGGAUUAGAUACCCUUGUAGUC
rnacentral:rRNA from 1 species